rnacentral:rRNA from 1 species
CAGCAGCCACGGUAAUACGUAGGGUGCAAGCGUUAAUCGGAAUUACUGGGCGUAAAGCGUGCGCAGGCGGUGUUGUAAGACUGAUGUGAAAUCCCCGGGCUCAACCUGGGAACUGCAUUGGUGACUGCAACGCUGGAGUGCGGCAGAGGGGGAUGGAAUUCCGCGUGUAGCAGUGAAAUGCGUAGAUAUGCGGAGGAACACCGAUGGCGAAGGCAAUCCCCUGGGCCUGCACUGACGCUCAUGCGCGAAAGCGUGGGGAGCGAACAGGAUUAGAUACCCGCGUAGUCCCUGUCUCUUAUAC